UACCCGCAGCUCAAGUGGUCGCCGCUAUUAUUGGGCCUAAAGCGUCCGUAGCCGGCUCUGUAAAUGCCCGGGUAAAUCGACGUGCUUAACACGUCGAAUUUCGGGUAGACUGCAGGGCUCGGGACCGGGAGAGGCUGGAGGUACUCCGGGGGUAGGGGUGAAAUCCUGUAAUCCCUGGGGGACCACCGGUGGCGAAGGCGUCCAGCUGGAACGGGUCCGACGGUGAGGGACGAAGCCCUGGGGAGCAAACCGG
rnacentral:rRNA from 1 species